AAGUCGUAACAAGGUAACCGUAGGUGAACCUGCGGUUGGAUCAUUAAAAAUGGGGUUUUACCCCAGUUUUUUGAGGAGCAUUAGGGGGCUAUUUUUGUAACCGGCCAAAAGCUUUGGUUGCAAUGAGGUAGCUUUUUUCCCGCUCUUCUAAAGAAUAUCCCUCACGCAUGACCAACAAUCGGGUAACCGAUUGGGGUGAACCGGGGAGGGAUAUUCUUUAGGAACAACUUGUGCACUGUAAUUGUUUUUGGGCGAUUAAUUCAAAACUAAUCGCCCGCUGGUUUAACUUUACUACUAAACUUUUGACUGACGUUUAUCACUAUAAAUGAUUAAACAACUUUAGACAACGGAUCUCUUGGCUCUC
rnacentral:misc_RNA from 1 species